rnacentral:rRNA from 1 species
GACGAACGCUGGCGGCGUGCUUAACACAUGCAAGUCGUACGGUAAGGCCCUUUCGGGGGUCCACGAGUGGCGAACGGGUGAGUAACACGUGAGUAACCUGCCCACAACUUUGGGAUAACGCUAGGAAACUGGUGCUAAUACUGGAUAUGUGCUCCUGCUGUAUGGUGGGGGUUGGAAAGCUCCGGCGGUUGUGGAUGGACUCGCGGCCUAUCAGCUUGUUGGUGGGGUAGUGGCCUACCAAGGCGGCGACGGGUAGCCGGCCUGAGAGGGUGACCGGCCACAUUGGGACUGAGAUACGGCCCAGACUCCUACGGGAGGCAGCAGUGGGGAAUAUUGCACAAUGGGCGCAAGCCUGAUGCAGCAACGCCGCGUGCGGGAUGACGGCCUUCGGGUUGUAAACCGCUUUCAGCAGGGACGAAGCUUUUUGUGACGGUACCUGCAGAAGAAGCACCGGCUAACUACGUG